rnacentral:rRNA from 1 species
GAAUAUUGGACAAUGGGCGAAAGCCUGAUCCAGCAAUGCCGCGUGAGUGAUGAAGGCCCUAGGGUUGUAAAGCUCUUUUACCAGGGAUGAUAAUGACAGUACCUGGAGAAUAAGCUCCGGCUAACUCCGUGCCAGCAGCCGCGGUAAGACGGAGGGAGCUAGCGUUGUUCGGAAUUACUGGGCGUAAAGCGCGCGUAGGCGGCUCAUUAAGUCAGAGGUGAAAUCCCGGGGCUCAACCCCGGAACUGCCUUUGAAACUGGCGAGCUAGAAUCCUGGAGAGGCGAGUGGAAUUCCGAGUGUAGAGGUGAAAUUCGUAGAUAUUCGGAAGAACACCAGUGGCGAAGGCGACUCGCUGGACAGGUAUUGACGCUGAGGUGCGAAAGCGUGGGGAGCAAACAGG